GGAUUCCCGUCGAGCAAGAGUUAGCCACUCACUCGUAGCGAGUCUUGGAGUACUUGGUAACAAGUAUCUUUAAGCGGUAGACAGUUAGAUUGUGGGCCGAAAGCC
rfam:Bacillus wakoensis JCM 9140 DNA, contig:contig_81.